GCCUUCGUGGUGUAGCUGUCAGCACGCUCGGCACGUAUUCCAGAGGUCCAAGGUUCAAAUCCCUGCGAGGGCA
rnacentral:tRNA from 1 species